CUUUCUUCCUUUCUCCCGUGAUACAAUCUCGCAUAUAUCUGGUUUACCGUCAAACCGAGCACAUGUCUGCGGUUAUUUAUGUCACUAGGUUGUCUUUCUUAUUGACGUUUACCCCAUAUUUUCAUAUUGAACCACACUGCACACGUAUAUGUUUUAGAAUAUGAAGUUAAGGUUUCAUGUUAUGCAUAAUAAGUACCUCAAAUUAUUUAACUGAAAAAAGAGGUAGGGCCAAUUUGCCGGGAAUUUUUUUCACAGAAGGGCCAAUUUCAAAAAGUGCCGUCAGAAUAAAAUUUACUAUAAAAACAAAAAAUCUUUUUGAUCAAUAUCUCGAUUUACAUAUAUUAUGAUAUGUGUGAUCAAUAGUUAAUUUAACCCUCAAAAAGGACGAAAGUUCAAUAUGCGGAAUUUCGGGUGUUUUUAGGUGGGAAAAACAGGGAAUUCCCCCAGGAGGACAUUUCAAACCCC
rnacentral:lncRNA from 1 species